GUAUUCAUUUUUAAACAAAUUCAUAUGAAUAUAGCUUGCUAUUAAUGAAUUACUUUUUAUAAUAGAUGCAUUUAACAUUUAAUUAUACAGCAUCUUUGCAGAGGCUGCUUUCAUGGUCUAAAAAAAAAAAACCACAGUAAUGUAUAAGUUGCAUGUAAUGAUGUAAUAAUAUUUCCUUCCUUUCUGUCUUACAGGAUUGCUUGCAGAUGCUGUCCUUCUUUUUCAGGUCUACAGCUCUUUUAAGAGCCAAUCCUCACAAACCUUCCUAAAAACUAAAAGAGCUAUUACUGAGUCUCAGCGAAUCUUGCUAUAAUCAGCCCUUCCCAGAUACAUUUAUUUAGAAUUUUUUUGAAUCAACAUUUACUCAUUAAAAACUCUGGUCUGAAUCUUAUUUUAAAUGAAUUUAAUUAUAUGUUUAAUGAGCAAUAUUAAUUGCACACAGAGUAAGUAGAGAUGAUCGUGUUUUACAGAAUAGAAAAAGCCCAAGGAAAUCAUUUGCUCAGGAUGAGGAAUGAAGAUGGCCAUCUUGUGCCCAAACGAAGACAGAAGUCCACUGAUGAUCUCAUCAGCCAAAUGAGGGGUUUUGACCAAGUGAUGGUCUUGAAAGGAAUGAAAGAAGAGGAUGUGGUAAAUUGUCUUCAAAGAAAAAGCUUCUCAAAAGGUCUUAAAACAGCUUGAAGAAUGGUCUGGGAACUGUCUGAAAAUGGGAUGUUAGGACAGAGAGAUCCUCUGGCUGAGAAAAAGCUACACCACAUCAGUGCUGGAUAUCAACCACAAACUGUUUACAGACACGAGAGAAGAUCAUGAUGGGGAAAUGAAACCAGUUUAGAUGUGAUGAUAAGGGAUCAUUAUUUUCUGAAACAGUAUCAAAUGUCUUAUAUGUAUCACAUGAUCUGUAUCACAGUUGACUGGAUGGGAUUGUGUGACUUUGAAGAAAAUUUGAUCACUCAUCUGUGUGAACUGAUGAAUGUAUGAUGUUAAUGUUUUUUUGAUGAGGCAUUAUUAUUUUCCUUGAAUCUUAUUUGUCUUGAUGCUACUUUAUCAACUUUAUAGUCUAUGCUUCAAUAAAAUGAACAUGGUGAAUAUUGUGUGUUGAAAA
ensembl:lncRNA